AGAAUUGUCUCCUCAGAGAGAUAAACUAUCUCAGUUGCCUAGCCCUGAGGCAGUAGAUUGGCUGGAACUGGAGAAUGUAUGUCAUGACCUGCUCCACCGUGGGUGGCUCUCACAACAGAGAAGCUUGGGGGUGAAAAAGAGAUGAUGAGGAAAUCAGAAUUCAUACCAAGUUCCGCUGAGGACUUCCGGUGCUCACCUCCCUGAUAAAGGAGGAACGGGUGAGAGAACAAAACAAAAUAACCCAAAAUCCUGGGCUGAAGGGAAAGGGAAGCUUAGCUGCAGCCUGGAGGGGCUGGGGAGUGAUGAUGCAAAAGCCCGGCCCUACUCACUGCUUGGGGAAGGGGCAGAAGAGGCUUGCAUGGGGAACAGGAGUCUGACCCCUGACCUUGGCUCUCACUUCAGCAAGCACCCAGCUUUGUUGAGUCAGCAGGUGCCUCCCACAGCUCCUGAGGCUGCGUCAGAAAGAGCUUGUCUCCCUGGGUGGGAAGAUGGUUGGGCCAGCCGAUGAUUAUCAGCACCCAAAAGGCUUUCAGAGACCAUGAUCUCAAGCUGCUCUCGACCACACUUCCUUGGUCCAAUCCAGUUCGAAGCUGUGGCUCUCAUCCAUGGGCUCUCAGGACUGCCCACGGGAGGGAGGGCUUCUCACAGAGUGACUCACUCACGGACAAGCUUUGGUCUGUUGGUUUUCGGUGGAUUGCUCACAGCACGCUGGGAACUGCUCAUCAUUCAGCGCCAGCAAGAUCUUUCCUCCUCCACGUCAUCACCACUGACAGGUACAUCUACCGUGAAACUGCUCGUCAUGAAAACAAAAGCAGAAUACUGAAGCUGGUCUUCUGGGAGCAGCUUAAUACUGCUUUUACUGCUGUCGAUACCUUCCCGGCCAAGGAGAUGAGGCCUGCCUCUGAAGAGAGCUGGGUCCAGAUGGGAAGCACUUUCUCAAAGUCAGCUCUAGAUGUCCCAGCAAUUUAGCAGAGGACUGCAA